AAGUCGAGCGAACAGAUGAGGAGCUUGCUCCUCUGACGUUAGCGGCGGACGGGUGAGUAACACGUGGAUAACCUACCUAUAAGACUGGGAUAACUACGGGAAACCGGAGCUAAUACCGGAUAAUAUAUUGAACCGCAUGGUUCAAUAGUGAAAGACGGUUUUGCUGUCACUUAUAGAUGGAUCCGCGCCGCAUUAGCUAGUUGGUAAGGUAACGGCUUACCAAGGCAACGAUGCGUAGCCGACCUGAGAGGGUGAUCGGCCACACUGGUACUGAGACACGGUCCAGACUCCUACGGGAGGCAGCAGUAGGGAAUCUUCCGCAAUGGGCGAAAGCCUGACGGAGCAACGCCGCGUGAGUGAUGAAGGUCUUCGGAUCGUAAAACUCUGUUAUUAGGGAAGAACAUAUGUGUAAGUAACUGUGCACAUCUUGACGGUACCUAAUCAGAAAGCCACGGCUAACUACGUGCCAGCAGCCGCGGUAAUACGUAGGUGGCAAGCGUUAUCCGGAAUUAUUGGGCGUAAAGCGCGCGUAGGCGGUUUUUUAAGUCUGAUGUGAAAGCCCACGGCUCAACCGUGGAGGGUCAUUGGAAACUGGAAAACUUGAGUGCAGAAGAGGAAAGUGGAAUUCCAUGUGUAGCGGUGAAAUGCGCAGAGAUAUGGAGGAACACCAGUGGCGAAGGCGACU
rnacentral:rRNA from 1 species